GGUCUGAGGGUGUCCAGCUUAUAUCAAGCAUUUAAAGAUAGAUAAGCUUGGAUCGAAGUCUGAUAGAUGCUUGUUCGUAGGAUACCCAAAAAAAACUAAAAGGUACUAAAAAGGUGUUUGUUAGCAGUCGGGAAAUCUUUUUGAAAAAAAAGUUCCUUGGUGAAGGAGCUAAUGCUUGUAAAAUUGAACUUGAUGAAGUUCAUGAGGUAAAAGGAUUGACACAUACAGAAUUGGGUUUGAUUGGUGAAUCGAAUCUAGAGCUAGUAGAGGCACCAUUAAGGAGAUCCGGUAGAGA
rnacentral:lncRNA from 1 species